rnacentral:misc_RNA from 1 species
CCAAUAGCGUAUAUUAAAGUUGUUGCAGUUAAAAAGCUCGUAGUUGAAUUUCGGGAUUGGCGCAUCGGUCGUGCCUUACGGGGUAUGAACUGGUGCAGUCAAUUUCUCACCUUCUGGAGAACCGCGAUGUCCUUAAUUGGGUGCCGCGGGGAACCAGGACCUUUACUUUGAAAAAAUUAGAGUGUUUAAAGCAGGCAUUUUUGCUUGAAUCCAUUAGCAUGGAAUAAUAAAAUAGGACGGCAUGGUUCUAUUUUGUUGGUUUCUAGGACCACCGUAAUGAUUAAUAGGGAUAGUUGGGGGCAUUAGUAUUCAAUUGUCAGAGGUGAAAUUCUUGGAUUUAUUGAAGACUAACUACUGCGAAAGCAUUUGCCAAGGAUGUUUUCAUUAAUCAAGAACGAAAGUUAGGGGAUCGAAGACGAUCAGAUACCAUCGUAGUCUUAACCAUAAACUAUGCCAACUAUGGAUCGGACGGUGUUAAUUUUUUAAUGACUCGUUUGGCACCUUACG